rnacentral:rRNA from 1 species
GACGAACGCUGGCGGCGUGCUUAAUACAUGCAAGUCAACUGAACUUUAGGUAGCAAUAUUUAAAGGGAGGUGGCGCACGGGUGAGUAACACGUAGGUAAUCUGCCUUCAGGACUGACAUAAUUCCGCGAAAGCGGGACUAAAAUCAGAUGAUGCAGCGGCUCGACAUCGAGACAGUUGUUAAACCUUCGGGGCCUGAAGAUGAGCCUGCGUCUGAUUAGGUAGUUGGCGGGGUAAAAGCUACCAAGCCUGCGAUCAGUAGCUGGUCUGAGAGGAUGAUCAGCCACACUGGAACUGAGACACGGUCCAGACUCCUACGGGAGCAGCAGUAAGGAAUAUUGCUCAAUGGCCGAAAGGCUGAAGCAGCAACGCCGCGUCGGAGGA